rnacentral:lncRNA from 1 species
GAAGCUUAAAUUUCUUAAUUUGUUCUAACUCCGACUUCUCAUCCCCCCUAUAUCCUUAGGAAAAUAAUCCAUUUAUCUGAAAGUCAUCUCUCAAGGUCAUGGAGAACAAAAACAAAACAAGACAGAUAGGAGACACUAAAGUUCUCAGGAUCCACGGAUCUCCUCCAGAACAUAACUGAAGGGGUAGGGCAGAUGAUUUGUAUGGAGGCAUUGGGCACAGAGCCUGACACAUCUGUGGCCCUUGGUUACUGUGAGCAGCUCUUUGUUCAGAUCCCCUGAGUAGCUAAGAGAAUGUGCAGGAUUGGGGAAGGCAAGGAAUGAGGCCACUAGAGACAAUGCACUUCAUCAAAGGACCGACUUUACUUUUGCUGUGUGGAAAACAGGGCCAAACAAAAGACUUCUGCCAGAAGAGUUCUCCAUUUGCAAGGAGGCUUCCCUAGCCCCUUCAUGGGAACAGAAAAGCCACCUCACCACCAUCUCCCUUUCCCUGGAUCUCCUCUUAGACUAUUUUCCACCACACACCUACAAUAACAGACGGGAGUGUCUGGGAGUCUUUUCCUGUGGUUCUAGGACAGUGGUCUCUGCCCAUUUUGCUGGCUUCCAUGCCUCUGCCUUUCCAUUGAUCUAAGGUUCUUAGUGCUCCAAGAACCAGUCCAGCAACUGUACUAGGUGAAGU